AGGGGAGAGACGAAGUAUUAGAAUGUGAAUUUGCAAACCAUUAAAAUUUACCCAUAAAGAAUUAACAAAAAAGAAAUGCUUACCCAUCAAUAAAAUUUCAUCAAUUUUGUUGGGACUGAAUCUAUUUCACAACCCACGGAUUGCUUUCACAAGCACAUUCGAUUUUGGACAAAAUUGUAGGUGACCCAUGGUGGUACUGGAUGCGCUUGGUUGAGUGGAGUGGUGAAGGUCCGCGAUCGAAACGGUGGCUUAAGACGGUCGAAAUAUGGCGAAAACGGUGACUGUUAGCGCGGUUUUGGGGGGGAGGGUGAUUGGGGUUGUUUUCGGCAACUCCGUGGCUAGGUGAUGACAAGAGGUUGAAGAGGGAGGCGAGAGGGUUUGAAUGGUAGUGAGGUCUGGUGGUCUAGAUGGCGGGUGGUGGUCGAUUGUUGAGGAAGAAGGCGGCGGUUCGAUCACACUUCCCUCACGCAUAGUUUUGGUUCAUUUUCGUGAUUUGGCUGCAAACGCUCAAAA
rnacentral:lncRNA from 1 species